GCAUGAAGUCGGAAUUGCUAGUAAUCGCGGAUCAGCAUGCCGCGGUGAAUACGUUCCCGGGCCUUGUACACACCGCCCGUCACACCAUGGGAGCCGGUAAUACCCGAAGUCAGUAGUCCAACCUCGUGAGGGCGCUGCCGAAGGUAGGAUUGGCGACUGGGGUGAAGUCGUAACAAGGUAGC
rnacentral:rRNA from 1 species